GGCAGCAGCUCUGGCGGGGUGGCCCAGCUAUAGCGCGGCCAGACGUGGUGCGUCCCGGGGAGUUCCGGGAGCAGCGGGAGGUCGCAGGGGGGUGGCCAAGGGGCCUGGUCCCUGCUGGCGGGGAAAGGGGCAGAGCAAGCCGGGGACCCCCUCCACGUCCCUGCUUGUCCCUGCUCCCAGCAGCCGAGCCCAGACAGGGAGAGCAGCCAAACGAGCAGGGGAAACGCACAGGGAAAGGACUGAGCCCCCCUUUCCUCCACCCCACAGACUUCUGCAAGGCGAACUUGAUUACGUGUGAUCACUUGAGUGCCUUUUGGAAAAGUAUGGGGGCUCUUGCUGCGAAAGACAUGGCCAACAACAGAGCAAGGCAUGAUCUCCAAUUGUCCACCACAUUGCCAUACCUGGUGAUAGUAUUUUUGUAUAAGUCCAUUGAAGUUAGAAUUUUUACAAGGUCUAAAAACAACAUAUACUUUACAAUUUUAAUGUUUCAUCUUAAGCACCCAGUUCCAUAAGCGUUGGAGAAUAAAGAAAUGGAAAGUGUCAUACAGCAUCUCAAAUAAAAUUCUUGAUGGCCAAUUCUUAAUACCUCAUGAAUAUCUAUUUGGGCAGUGAAGUCACUUCUGAUCCCAGGAAUGUCAAGUUCCUUUGAAGUAGAGUCCAGUUUUCCUCUUGGAUACAACCAUAUAUCACCCAUGGAAGUCAAUAGGAAUUGUGCAUGCAGGUUUUGGCUCAUCCAGUUUCUACUAGGUAUUAUUAUUACUUACUAAUCACUGAAGUGAGCAUUAUAGAUUUAAGGGGACAUUCAAUAAACUGGAAGGUGGCAUAUUCAAAGACAAUACUUUCUGGAAUGCAGUCACUCAGACUGUGGAAGUCAUUGCUACAAGAUGUCAUUGAGUCCAAGAGCUUAAAAGGGUAUAGCAUAAUAAGAAUAUCCAGAGUUAUAAUAGUAAAUACUGGAAGUGAAAGGAGAGGAAAAGUAAAAUGUUUUGGAGGGAAUUUACACUCUCCUUCAUAACCAGGCUCUAACUACUAAGGAUUAGGAGAAGACUUUCCUUGGGGGAAUUGUUGAUAACUGCACCUAUACCUGCAUACCAAAUGAUUUCUUGAACCUUCCUCUGAAGCAUUUAGUACUGGCCGCUGUUGGAGACAGACUUCUGGACUACACAAACUACUGGUCUGAGCCAGUACAGCAUUUCUAUGUUCCUAAAAAUUUGGGCUGUCUACAUGACAUUACGGACAAGAUGUCUUAACAAGUCAAGGCUAAUAUUAAAGUUCAUGUGUAUACUAUCCAGAAAGAAACUAACUCCUAAUUUCAAAACAAUACACCCACAAAUAAAGCCACGUAACAGUCAACAUCUCAGCAACAAAACAAAAAAGAAAAACUUUUAAUUUGGUCUUUUACCCAAUAAAAAUGUUUGUAUUGAAAAUAAGAAUGGUCUGGGGCUGAAAAUUGCCAAACUGGAAGCUAGAUAUGGGUUCAUUCCUGCCUGUGCCACUUAUGUAGCCUGUAUUUCAGCAUCCCCAGCUGUAAUCUGUAAGUCUGCUUAGUUCAUAGGGGAGAUGAAGCUUAAUGCAUUGACAUUUUAAAGUUCUUUAAGAUACUUAAAUGGAAUUGUGUACAAGUGCAAAGCAGGCGCACAAGUCCCAGAUCUGCUGGCCUACAACAUUUGAGGGCUCAGUGUACCCAGCAGACAACUCCCAAUGAUGUAAGGGAAGAAAAGAUUAUGUUGCAUGGUUUAUCCAUGACUGGGAGGAUUGAGGAGAAACAGGAGGAGAGGGCAGAAGCUACGUAACUUCUGGACAACGGAGAAGAGGAACUACAAAGAAAAGGAAGCUGCAAAAUCCUUUCAUGCUCCAGUCUAAAAAAAAAAAACCCAAAAAAUCAGUUCUACUACUACUUGCUUGAGAGGAAAGAAAGGUGGGUGGCAGCUAUUAGGCAGCCAGGUGGAACAGCACAACUUCAUUUUUGCCACGCAUACACAUCGCAUCUGCAUCUAAAAAACAUGCCUCAAAGACCAUGUAAAUGGAGGUCUUAAAACUUCAUGAGAACAGAUAUAAACAUUUCAGAAUGGUUCACCAAGCAACACAGAAAACAAUUUAAAGCUUUAUUUUUCCUGUGUUUAGUUAUUACAUAUCAGCCAGAUAAUUCUUUUUGUUCUAAACACCAGCUGCUUUCCAAUAUGUAUGCCAUAUAGAUACUAUAAUUACCUAUCAAGUAGGAGCAUAAAGGUUAGGGUCUUCCUGUAUGUAAAAAAAUGCAAUCUCUUUGACCUUUGCCUUAGAGCUUUAAUGUCUAGUUUAAAAAAA